GGUGAACGCUAGCGGCAGGCCUAACACAUGCAAGUCGAGGGGCAGCACAGAAACAGCAAUGUUUUGGUGGCGACCGGCGGACGGGUGCGUAACGCGUAUGCAACCUACCUUUAACAGGGGGAUAACGGAGAGAAAUUUCCACUAAUACCCCAUAACAUCGAUCAAGGCAUCUUGAUUGGUUGAAAACUCCGGUGGUUAAAGAUGGGCAUGCGUUGUAUUAGGUAGUUGGUGAGGUAAUGGCUCACCAAGCCUACGAUACAUAGGGGGACUGAGAGGUUAGCCCCCCACACUGGUACUGAGACACGGACCAGACUCCUGCGGGAGGCAGCAGUGAGGAAUAUUGGUCAAUGGGGGCAACCCUGAACCAGCCAUGCCGCGUGCAGGAAGACGGCUCUAUGAGUUGUAAACUGCUUUUAAACAGGGAUAAAGCACAGUAUGUAUACUGUGUUGAAGGUACUGUAAGAAUAAGGGUCGGCUAACUCCGUGCCAGCCGCCGCAGUAA
rnacentral:rRNA from 1 species